UGAGGGGCUGCGUUCUCGGAUUCUGGGCGUAAAGGGAGCGUAGGCGGAAUUUAAGUAGGGGUGAAAUCCCGGGGCUCAACCUCGGAAUUGCCUUUGAUACUGGGUGUCUUGAGUAUGAGAGAGGUAUGUGGAACUCCGAGUGUAGAGGUGAAAUUCGUAGAUAUUCGGAAGAACACCAGUGGCGAAGGCGACAUACUGGCUCAUUACUGACGCUGAGGCUCGAAAGCGUGGGGAGCAAACAGGAUUAGAUACCCUGGUAGUCCACGCCGUAAACGAUGAUUGCUAGUUGUCGGGAUGCAUGCAUUUCGGUGACGCAGCUAACGCAUUAAGCAAUCCGCCUGGGGAGUACGGUCGCAAGAUUAAAACUCAA
rnacentral:rRNA from 1 species